UGUCCUCUGCUGUGCCCGGCAGCGCAUUCUUACAUAGUGCCUUGUUCCUAUAGACGACCCGGGUCGGCAACGCGGCAACCAUCGUGCAAGUCCGCCUUCGAGCGGAAAGCCUGGGUUCCCGCACACUGCCCGCCCACCUGAUCCCCCUGGAUCAAGGUCGUUCGAUGUGCACCGGCAUGGCGGAGGGCAU
rnacentral:other from 1 species